UGUGGAGGAAGCCUUCGUCUCUCUUGCUUUUCGAACAGUCCUUUGUUUGCUGCUUUGAUUUCCGGUAAAGCUUUUGCCGCCCCGCCGCUCCCAAUUUUUCCCUGAUUUCUACAUCGAGAUCAAAAAGCUGUGGGCCUCUAUGGUUCUGAAUCAGAGCUCAGACCAAUAUAAGAAGUACCUUUCUGAUCAUUUUCAUUCAGGAACAUAUACUUACAUUAGAGCCUAUGCUAAGCUAGCCGCCAUAGCUUUCGAGAGAUCAUCGCUCAUUGAACCCGUAGACGAUGCAUCUGAA